AGCUUACCAGAAGAGGCAUACUCUGGAGCCAUAUAACCGAAAGUUCCCAUCACUCGAGUGGAGACAUGAGUAUCAGUAUCCAAAGAAUACUUGGCCAGUCCAAAAUCAGCAACCUUUGCUUCAAAGCUAUCAUCAAGAAGAAUAUUGGCUGCCUUGAUAUCUCGGUGUAUGAUCUUGGGCUGACAGUCUUCAUGCAGGUAAGCCAAUCCUUUGGCUGAGCCUACAGCAACUUUCAUUCUAGUUGACCAGUGCAUAGUUGGUCUCUCCUUUCCAUGUAGAUGGAAUUCCAAGGUGUUGUUUUGAACAAAUUCAUAUACAAGAAUCCUCUGGGUUCCAGUAAUGCAAUAUCCAAUCAAUGAAACAAGAUGCCUGUGAUGGACACGACUAAUGAUUUCAAUCUCCGCCUGAAAUU
rnacentral:misc_RNA from 1 species